UACGAAGGGGGCGAGCGUUGUUCGGAAUCACUGGGCGUAAAGGGCGCGUAGGCGGCCUCUCUUGUCGCGUGUGAAAGCCCCGGGCUCAACCUGGGAACGGCGAUGGAUACUGGCUCGCUAGAGUGCGGUAGAGGAGAGUGGAAUUCCCGGUGUAGCAGUGAAAUGCGUAGAGAUCGGGAGGAACAUCAGUUGCGAAGGCGGCUCUCUGGACCAGCACUGACACUGAGGCACGAAAGCGUGGGGAGCAAACAGG
rnacentral:rRNA from 1 species